CUGAUAGGCGACCCGGCCAAAUGGGAUUGGGCCCGCCCCCGCUCCUACGGGAGGGAGCAGGGGGGAAUUUUCCCCAAUGGGCGAAAACCUGAUCAGCAACGCCGGAUGAGGGAUGACGGCCUUCGGGGUGUUAACCUUCUCUAGCAGGGAAGAAGCGAGAGUGACGGUACCUGCAGAAAAGCGCCGGCUAACUACGUGCCAGCAGCCGCGGUAAUACGUAGGGCGCAAGCGUUAUCCGGAAUUAUUGGGCGUAAAGAGCUCGUAGGCGGUUUGUCGCGUCUGCUGUGAAAUGCCGAGGCUCAACCUCGGGCCUGCAGUGGGUACGGGCAGACUAGAGUGCGGUAGGGGAGAUUGGAAUUCCUGGUGUAGCGGUGGAAUGCGCAGAUAUCAGGAGGAACACCGAUGGCGAAGGCAGAUCUCUGGGCCGUAACUGACGCUGAGGAGCGAAAGGGUGGCGAGCAAACAGGCUUAGAUACCCUGGUAGUCCACCCCGUAAACGUUGGGAACUAGUUGUGGGGUCCAUUCCACGGAUUCCGUGACGCAGCUAACGCAUUAAGUUCCCCGCCUGGGGAGUACGGCCGCAAGGCUAAAACUCAAAGGAAUUGACGGGGACCCGCACAAGCGGCGGAGCAUGCGGAUUAAUUCGAUGCAACGCGAAGAACCUUACCAAGGCUUGACAUAUACGAGAACACUCUGGAAACAGAGGACUCUUUGGACACUCGUAUACAGGUGGUGCAUGGUUGUCGUCAGCUCGUGUCGUGAGAUGUUGGGUUAAGUCCCGCAACGAGCGCAACCCUCGUUCUAUGUUGCCAGCACGUUAUGGUGGGAACUCAUGGGAUACCGCCGGGGUCAACUCGGAGGAAGGUGGGGAUGACGUCAAAUCAUCAUGCCCCUUAUGUCUUGGGCUUCACGCAUGCUACAAUGGCCGGUACAAAGGGCUGCAAUACCGUGAGGUGGAGCGAAUCCCAAAAAGCCGGUCCCAGUUCGGAUUGAGGUCUGCAACUCGACCUCAUGAAGUCGGAGUCGCUAGUAAUCGCAGAUCAGCAACGCUGCGGUGAAUACGUUCCCGGGUCUUGUACACACCGCCCGUCAAGUCAUGAAAGUCGGUAACACCUGAAGCCGGUGGCCUAACCCUUGUGGAGGGAGCCGUCGAAGGGGAUCGAA
rnacentral:rRNA from 1 species